GAUGAACGCUAGCUACAGGCUUAACACAUGCAAGUCGCGGGGCAUCAUGGAGGUUGCUUGCAAUUUCUGAUGGCGACCGGCGCACGGGUGAGUAACGCGUAUCCAACCUUCCCAUUACUACGGCAUACCCCGUUGAAAGGCGGCCUAAUUCCGUAUGCAGUCCGAAGCAGUCAUCUAAUUUGGACGAAAGGUAUAUUCUAUCGGUAAUGGAUGGGGAUGCGUCCGAUUAGCCAGCCGGCGGGGUAACGGCCCACCGGGGCAUUGAUCGGUAGGGGUUCUGAGAGGAAGGUCCCCCACACUGGAACUGAGACACGGUCCAGACUCCUACGGGAGGCAGCAGUGAGGAAUAUUGGUCAAAUGGGCGUAAAGCCUGAAACCAGCCAAAGUAGCGUGCAGGAAGACGGCCCUAUGGGGUGUAAAACU
rnacentral:rRNA from 1 species